GGCUCAGGAUGAACGCUGGCGGCGUGCCUAAUACAUGCAAGUCGAGCGAAUGAUGAGGGCUUGCUCCUCUGAUUUAGCGGCGGACGGGUGAGUAACACGUGGGUAAUCUGCCUGUAAGACGGGGAUAACUCCGGGAAACCGGGGCUAAUACCGGAUAAUAAGAGAAGAAGCAUUUCUUCUUUUUGAAAGUCGGUUUCGGCUGACACUUACAGAUGAGCCCGCGGCGCAUUAGCUAGUUGGUGAGGUAACGGCUCACCAAGGCGACGAUGCGUAGCCGACCUGAGAGGGUGAUCGGCCACACUGGGACUGAGACACGGCCCAGACUCCUACGGGAGGCAGCAGUAGGGAAUCUUCGGCAAUGGGCGAAAGCCUGACCGAGCAACGCCGCGUGAGCGAUGAAGGCCUUCGGGUCGUAAAGCUCUGUUGUUAGAGAAGAACAAGUACGAGAGUAACUGCUCGUACCUUGACGGUACCUAACCAGAAAGCCACGGCUAACUACGUGCCAGCAGCCGCGGUAAUAC
rnacentral:rRNA from 1 species